CUUUCGGGAUCUUGAGAACGGCGUACCGGUUGCGGAACACGUGUGCAACCAGCCUUUAUCUGGGGGAUAGCCUUUCGAAAGGAAGAUUAAUACCCCAUAAUAUACUGAAUGGCAUCAUUUGGUAUUGAAAACUCCGGUGGAUAGAGAUGGGCACGCGCAAGAUUAGAUAGUUGGUGAGGUAACGGCUCACCAAGUCUACGAUCUUUAGGGGGCCUGAGAGGGUGAUCCCCCACACUGGUACUGAGACACGGACCAGACUCCUACGGGAGGCAGCAGUGAGGAAUAUUGGACAAUGGGUGAGAGCCUGAUCCAGCCAUCCCGCGUGAAGGACGACGGCCCUAUGGGUUGUAAACUUCUUUUGUAUAGGGAUAAACCUACCCUCGUGAGGGUAGCUGAAGGUACUAUACGAAUAAGCACCGGCUAACUCCGUGCCAGCAGCCGCGGUAAUACGGAGGGUGCAAGCGUUAUCCGGAUUUAUUGGGUUUAAAGGGUCCGUAGGCGGAUCUGUAAGUCAGUGGUGAAAUCUCACAGCUUAACUGUGAAACUGCCAUUGAUACUGCAGGUCUUGAGUGUUGUUGAAGUAGCUGGAAUAAGUAGUGUAGCGGUGAAAUGCAUAGAUAUUACUUAGAACACCAAUUGCGAAGGCAGGUUACUAAGCAACAACUGACGCUGAUGGACGAAAGCGUGGGGAGCGAACAGGAUUAGAUACCCUGGUAGUCCACGCCGUAAACGAUGCUAACUCGUUUUUGGAAUGUAAGUUUCAGAGACUAAGCGAAAGUGAUAAGUUAGCCACCUGGGGAGUACGAACGCAAGUUUGAAACUCAAAGGAAUUGACGGGGGCCCGCACAAGCGGUGGAUUAUGUGGUUUAAUUCGAUGAUACGCGAGGAACCUUACCAAGGCUUAAAUGGGAAAUGACAGGUUUAGAAAUAGACUUUUCUUCGGACAUUUUUCAAGGUGCUGCAUGGUUGUCGUCAGCUCGUGCCGUGAGGUGUUAGGUUAAGUCCUGCAACGAGCGCAACCCCUGUCACUAGUUGCCAUCAUUAAGUUGGGGACUCUAGUGAGACUGCCUACGCAAGUAGAGAGGAAGGUGGGGAUGACGUCAAAUCAUCACGGCCCUUACGCCUUGGGCCACACACGUAAUACAAUGGCCGGUACAGAGGGCAGCUACACUGCGAAGUGAUGCAAAUCUCGAAAGCCGGUCUCAGUUCGGAUUGGAGUCUGCAACUCGACUCUAUGAAGCU
rnacentral:rRNA from 1 species